rnacentral:lncRNA from 1 species
CGGGCCGAGCGCGCGUGGGCCGGCCUGCGGGCCAACUUCCAGGCCGCCCGCUGCGCAGUAUCUUUUUUCUUUUUCUUUUUGUGCAGCUUUUGCUUGAUGUUUGAAAUUGUGUAGGAAAUUGUGUAUUGAUCCAAAAAUAGUGAAACUUUUUGUAUAGGUUCCAGAGAAUAUAAAGAGCAUAGGAAAAAUGUUAGAGUCUAUUUUCCUGAUAGUUUGCCUGUCCAUAAAAAUUGGCUCUUUAAUUAGUAAAUAAAACUUCUAGGAAUUUUAAUAAUUUAUUUAUACGUGCAAAAAUCACCAAAAUUGGUGGAGAGCCUCU